GAUGAAGAACGUAGCGAAAUGCGAUACUUGGUGUGAAUUGCAGAAUCCCGUGAACCAUCGAGUCUUUGAACGCAAGUUGCGCCUCAAGCCAUUAGGUUGAGGGCACGUCUGCCUGGGCGUCACAUAUCGUUGCCUGAUGCCAGUUUCCUCGUGAUGGGUGACUGUGCAGGGCGAAUUAUGGCUUCCCGUGAGCAUUGUUGCCUCAUGGUUGGUUGAAAAUUGAGUCCUUGGUAGGGAGCGCCGUGAUAGAUGGUGGUUGAGUGACGAACGAGACCCAAUCAUGUGAGACCCCUACCGAAUUUGGCCUUCAUGACCCACAUGCGUCUUUGGAACGCUCAUGACGAGACCUCAGGUCAGGCGGGGCUACCCGCUGAGUUUAAGCAUAUCAAUAAGCGGAGGA
rnacentral:misc_RNA from 1 species